rnacentral:rRNA from 1 species
UUAGGUUAAGCUAGAAAGGGCGCACGGUGAAUGCCUUGGCACUAGGAGCCGAAGAAGGACGCGACGAACAGCGAAAUGCCUCGGGGAGCUGUAAGUAAGCUUUGAUCCGGGGAUAUCCGAAUGGGGGAACCCACCAUCCGUAAUGGGAUGGUACCCAUACCUGAAUACAUAGGGUAUGAGGAGGCAGACCUGGGGAACUGAAACAUCUAAGUACCCAGAGGAAGAGAAAGCAAAUGCGAUUUCCUGAGUAGCGGCGAGCGAAACGGAAUUAGCCCAAACCAAGAGGCUUGCCUCU